rnacentral:rRNA from 1 species
GACGAACGCUGGCGGCGUGCUUAACACAUGCAAGUCGAACGGAAAGGCCCCUUUGGGGGUACUCGAGUGGCGAACGGGUGAGUAACACGUGAGUAACCUGCCCUUGACUUCGGGAUAACUUCAGGAAACUGGGGCUAAUACCGGAUAGGAAUCCUUGCUGCAUGGUGGGGGUUGGAAAGCUUCGGCGGUUUUGGAUGGACUCGCGGCUUAUCAGCUUGUUGGUGGGGUAGUGGCUUACCAAGGCUUUGACGGGUAGCCGGCCUGAGAGGGCGACCGGCCACAGUGGGACUGAGAUACGGCCCAGACUCCUACGGGAGGCAGCAGUGGGGAAUAUUGCACAAUGGGCGGAAGCCUGAUGCAGCAACGCCGCGUGCGGGAUGACGGACUUCGGGUUGUAAACCGCGUUCAGCAGGGGCGAAGCUUGUGGUGACGGUACCUGCAGAAGAAGCACCGGCUAACUACGUG